rnacentral:piRNA from 1 species
GAUGGACUGCUAAUCCAUUGUGCUCUGC